GGAGAGGAAAAUAAGACUGAAGAACUGGGCAUACACAUGGCUGACAUGGGCACGAUCGGGAGGACAGGGAAAGGGCUGACGGGACACUUGCCACACGGGGUGAAGCUCCUCACACCCACCAGAGUCCAAGAUGCUGCCUGUGGCUGAGAAAAGUUGGAGGAUCCCUGCAUCAGAGAAGGGGAACGGGAAAAAAAGAAAUCACUCUUUCUUACGAUGUGUGAUUCACUUUGAUGUUUUUUAUCCUAUUCUGUUUAAUUUUUUAAAAUCACUGACUGCGGCCCACAGUCGAUUUUAGGACCCAGUGGGUCACAACUCGCAGUUUGAGAAACACCGGCUAAAAACACUGUGUCCUGCUGUCUCCCAGCCUCCAGCCUCCAGCGCUGAGCUCUGGGUCUGCGUCCCACCGUCCGUCUGACACACAUAGAUCCCCCUGCCGACGUUAGCUCUGUCCUGGGCCUCCCAGCUCACAUGGGCAUCCCCAGCUCCCGCCCAGGGGUCGUCGCUUGUCCCUCCCUCUCAUUCUUGGCAUCCAAUCACACCACAAAUCCUGUCAUUCCUGGGAUCUGGAACCUUCUUGAACUUCCCACGUCUUUCCACGCCCACGGCCGCCCUGGGCCCAGCCACCAUCCCCUCUCUGGGAGUGACAGCCCUGGCCCCAGCUGGCCUCUGCUUGUACCCCCGGCCGUCACAAUAGGCCUCCCACCCCACAGGUCCUUCCGGCCCCCGCCCGGGACAGCAGCUCCCUCCCACGGCCGCCAGCCUUCAGUCGGUGGCUGCUUUCCUGGGAGGCCACCUCAGCCUCUCGCUUCUGCUCCGCACACACAGCAGGCUCCGCGCGAGGGGCCCUGGCCCAGGCUCCUCCCUGCACCUCCGCUCCUUCUCCUGCUUUAUUCUCUGCAGCCCUUCAUCUCCCCCCCCCAGGCCCAGCCCAAAUCUCCUUGUUCAGGGAGACCUUCCCAGCCACCGGAUCUGCAGAAUGCCCCCCAUGCCACUCCCUGGGACUCUCCCUUCUUGUCACCCUGCUUAUCUCCUGCCCUGCAUGGGGCACAUUCUCUAAUAACCUUGUUUGUUCUCUCCCCGCCACGUGUCUUUUCCCCCACGACAGGGUACGCUCGGGGAGGUCCGGGACCAUUUUGGACCGGGACUUACGAGGCACUUGGUAAACACUGGCCGCUUGGACCCUGCAUGAAGACACAAAUGAGUGGAAGCAUAUGCAGCACAGCAAAGCGAGCUCUGCGAACCUCCGGGGCAGGCGCCCCUCCUCCCGUCAGACCCGCGCCCUGGGCACGCACCGUGCCCGGCUGCCUCCCUGCCUCCAUCCCAGUGACCGUGACGGGAAAGGGCAGCCUUACCUGCUGCGCAGCCGAGGGACAGUGGCCGCCCCCGGAUCCGCAUGGCCACGGACUGUUUGGUACCCAGACAGAGACCCUGAAUCCAGAAGGAACGAGGAGGCUUCACUGGGCACGGAGAGCUGGUGAUGAGGGGAGGAUGACAGCCCUGCUCCCUAGGAUGUGGGUUUCACCGGACUUGGGUCAGGGCAAAAGGAGCAGAGAGACAAGAAAGCAGCAGGCUUCCUAAGAGCCUCAGGGACAGACCGUUGGAUUGCGCAAGCCGCCGGAAGCAAAGGGGUUCGUGAAACUCCCCAGAGCUUCUUUACCCCGCUCCCUAAAAUCCUGCCGCGGGUUUCUUGGUACCCAUAGCCCAGGAGGACAGCAGCCCCGCGCAGACAGAAGCCCAGGGGUCACGCCGGUCCUCCCGUCCUCAUGCUGGGAGGCAGAAGCCUCUAUGCUGGAGCCUGCGUGGGGGCCUGAGCCACAGCAGGACCUGCAGCCUGGGCCUCGGUUUGCGUCUUGGCCUUGGACUCUGGCCGGCAGAGCCCGAGACCCUUGGCAAUGCCGCACAAGCAUGUUUCCCCAGCUUGGGGUGAGCAAUGCAGGCAAGUCGACUGAGCUUGCGGCUGCCGUUCUUUGGGAUCUUGGGCUUGACCUCCUUGGGCUGGACGAGGGCCUUGGCAGCCUCGGCACGUGCACUCAUGGCCUUGGCCUUGUUGGCCCGCAUCUUCUUCAGACCCUUCUUCUUGUGCUCCCUGGCAGCACGCACGUUACCCAGGAACUUGGGUUCUACCCCUGAUGAGAGUCAUAUCUUUGUGACUGGGGUCUCUUGGUGCCGUUUCUGUGCCGUCUUCAUGACUGGUUGUGCGUGGUGUGAUUCUUGGACUUGGCCACGUCUGCACGGAAGCCCGCGGUGCCCGAAGCGCCUUGGACCAAAAGAGAAAGACUGGAUAUUAUGUUCUUAUUUCUUUGGGGUAGGUGCUUAGGGGUGGGACUGCUGGGAAGCAUGGUAAGAUCUGUAAGCGGGUGCUAUUAAGAAACGGCUAACUGUCUUCCAGAGUAGCUGUGUCAUUCCCACUCCUACCGAAGCACAGGAGAGUUCUGGUGCCUUCGCUACCGUGAUAACAUUAAUUAUGACUCUGAGCUCUCCCUCUAGCAGGGGAGGAAGGAAUUUAGCCUCAUCUAUUUUCAGGGCUAUCCCCACAACACACACACAGACACACAAACACGUGAUGGGAGAAGAACGAAGCCUGGGUCUCACCCUGUCUACACCACUUACCACUGAGUUCUCCAUUUUCCUGGAUUAUUUGACAUCUGCCAACCCCGCCAUGGCUGAACCCCACACAGCUGUUCCCCUGUGAGGUCCUUCUGCCCGGGGCACUAGAAGAAAAGCACAGAUUAAUAGCUAAAACUGUUAUUCUGCCACAUAUAAAGCACUUAGCACAAUCCCAGACCCAUAGAUGAUGCUUAGUUAAGGCUUCCUCUCCCUUAAUAGAGGGGGGAGUUGUUCUCUCCCCUGUGGAGAUGCAUUUUGAGCUGAUGGCGAGGACUGGCGCUGGGAGUAUUACAGAGACAGCGCAGCUGCCCCCCGAGAAGGCUCAGUCAGCUGUCUGGCCUGAGAAUGGUCUACAGUGACCACUUGACUCCAAGCUCCUGCUGCACCUUGUUCCUGUUGUCGAUCCCGCAGAGCCGCAAGCAAUAUUCCAGUUAAUAAAGGGACAUCUCCUAAGUGUGCUUGCUCGCCACUGGCCACCUUCUCCACCUCGAAAAUGGGGCUCUGGGGUGAGAGGUUUUGACCUUUAUUCCUGCUCGCUGUUAUGAACCAUUGAUUCAGGUUGUAAAAUCUGCGUCAACCAUCUUCUGUUGCAAAUGUAAGUCUCAGUGCCUGGCAACCAGUCAGCUGGUACACAUAUUGAUCGAAUCAAUGAAUGAAUGAAUCAUGGACUGUUGGUGAUUUUAUGGAUGUGGACAUGACCUGUUGAAGUUAAUCGUGCUCUGUGGGGCCAUUUCUGCUUGAGGGAAACGUUCUGCCACGGCCAGCCGGUCUAAUCCCUGCACACCUGGGGAAAGCAGUUGGGAACCUGGGGCAGGUCACUGGAGCCUUCCUUGGACACUUGGGUCCCUUGGAAAGAACCACCCAGGGUCCUCUGCUCUUGGGUGCCCCCUAUGGGCCGGCACACAGUAAUGGACAUCCAGUCCUCCUUCCUUUACCUGAAGAAACAUUUUUCCUAGUGCCUAAAGGAAGAUGAGCCCUUAGACUGUAAACUACCAUUGAAUGGAUUUUUCAUUUAUUUUCCCCCUGGUUAAGUGCUGUUUUAAUAACUAAUCUUUUAAAAGAAAUUCUACUUUAUUCCUUUAAAAGUAAAUAUUUCAGGGUGCCUGGGUGGCUCAGUUGGUUAAGCGACUGCCUUCGGCUCAGGUCAUGAUCCUGGAGUCCCGGGAUCGAGUCCCGCAUCGGGCUCCCUGCUCAGCAGGGAGUCUGCUUCUCCCUCUGACCCUCCCCACCUCAUGCUUUCUCUCUCUCUCAAAUAAAUAAAUAAAAUCUUAAAAAAAAAAAGUAAAUAUUUCAGCCAAUAAACACAUGAAAAAACCUGCUCAACAUCACUAAUCAUUAGGGAAAUGUAAAUCAAAACUCUUGUGAGAUACCCAUAUACAUUCAUUAGGAUGGCUACUAUCAAAAAAACAGAAAACAGCAAGUGCUGGAGCGGAUUUGGAGAAAAGGGAAUCCUUGUGCUCUGUUGGUAGAAAGGCAAAUUGAUGCUGCUACCGUAGAAAACAGUAUGGAGGCCCCUAAAAAAAUUAAAAACAGAAGUACCAUAUGAUCCCGCAAUCCCACGUUUGGGCAUACACCCAAAGAAUUGAAAGCAGUGGGACACCUGGGUGGCUCAGUCAGCUGAGCGUCCGUCCAUCUGUCCGACUCCUGAUAUCAGCUAAGGUUGUGAUCUUGGGGUCUUGGGAUGGAGCCCACCCCCGGGCUCCAUGCUCAGCAGGGAGACUGCUUGAGUUUCUCUCUCCCUCUGCCCCUCCCCCUUGCUCGCUCUCAAAUAAAUAAAUCUUUUUUAAAAAGCAUUGAAAGCAGAGACUCAGAGAUAUUUGUACAUCCAUGUUUAUAGCAGCAUUUAUUCACAGUAACUAAAACGUGGAAGGAACCCAGCAUCCAUGGAGGGAAGAAUGGAUAAGCAAAGUGUGGGAUAUACAUACACUGGAAUAUUAUUCUGCAGCCUUUAAACGGAAGGACAUCCUGGGGGCACCUGGCGGGCUCUGUCAGUAGACUGCAACUCCUGAUCUCACGGUGUGAGUUCGAGCCCCCUGUUGGGUGUAGAGAUUACUUAAAAAUAAAAUCUUUAAAAAAUAAAAUAAAAGGAAGGACAUUCUUUUUUUUUUUUAAGAUUUUAUUUAUUUAUUCAUGAGAGAUAGAGAGAGAGAGAGGCAGAGGCAGAGGGAGAAGCAGGCUCCCCGUGGAGCAGGGAGCCCAAUGUGGGACUCGAUCCCAGGACCCUGGGAUCAUGACCUGAGCUGAAGGCAGACGCGUAACCGACUGAGCCACCCAGGUGUCCCAAAAGGAAGGACAUUCUGAUCCAGGCUACAACGUGGAUGAACUUUGAGGACAUUAUGCUAAAUGAAAUAAGUCAGCCAGGUGAAGACAAUUAUUGUAUGAUUCCUCUUAAAUGAGGUACUUAGUCAAAUUCAUAAAUAUGGAAAGUGGAAUGGGGGUUGCCAGGGGCUGGAGAAGGCGAGAAGGAAGAGUGACUGUUUAAUGGGUACAGAGCUUCAGUUUUACAAGACGAAAAGAGUUCUAAAUGUAUUUAACAUCCCUGAACAGUACAUUUAAAUAUGGUUGAGA